GAGCAUGUGCCUGAAGGGGCAGAAAGGAGCCCAGGGCAGGAGGGGCAUCGCAGGUGCCCCAGGCGCUGCUGGGGAGAAGGGCUACCAAGGUGCACAGGGGCUGCGAGGUCUCAGAGGGACAAAGGGCGUCGUGGGUCACCCAGGGUGCCGUGGAGCUCAGGGGCGUUCUGGAGAUGUGGGCUCCCCAGGAAACACCGGCCCCACUGGUCUCCAGGGUGAGAAGGGGCAGGCCGGAGGAAGAGGCGAAAAAGGGAACGCAGGGUCUCUGGGGCCCAAGGGGGCACUGGGGGACAAUGGAUGUGAUAAACGAGGAUCUCCAGGGAGGAAGGGCCCAAAGG